rnacentral:rRNA from 1 species
GAUGAACGCUAGCGGCAGGCUUAAUACAUGCAAGUCGAGGGGCAGCACGGUUAGCAAUAACUGGUGGCGACCGGCGCACGGGUGCGUAACACGUAUACAAUCUACCUUAAACAGGGGGAUAGCCUUUCGAAAGAGAGAUUAAUACCCCGUAAUAAAUUGAACGGCAUCGUUUGAUUUUGAAAGCUCCGGCGGUUUGAGAUGAGUAUGCGUCUGAUUAGCUAGUUGGUGAGGUAACGGCUCACCAAGGCGACGAUCAGUAGGGGAUCUGAGAGGACUAACCCCCCACACUGGUACUGAGACACGGACCAGACUCCUACGGGAGGCAGCAGUAAGGAAUAUUGGUCAAUGGAGGCAACUCUGAACCAGCCAUGCCGCGUGCAGGAUGACGGCCCUAUGGGUUGUAAACUGCUUUUAUACAAGAGAAAACCCUGGUACGUGUACCAGGUUGAUAGUAUUGUAAGAAUAAGCAUCGGCUAACUUCGUGCCAGCAGCCGCGGU